rnacentral:rRNA from 2 species
GCGGGCCCGCCCGCCCUAUGAUGCAGUCGAACGAACUCUGGUAUUGAUUGGUGCUUGCAUCAUGAUUUACAUUUGAGUGAGUGGCGAACUGGUGAGUAACACGUGGGAAACCUGCCCAGAAGCGGGGGAUAACACCUGGAAACAGAUGCUAAUACCGCAUAACAACUUGGACCGCAUGGUCCGAGUUUGAAAGAUGGCUUCGGCUAUCACUUUUGGAUGGUCCCGCGGCGUAUUAGCUAGAUGGUGGGGUAACGGCUCACCAUGGCAAUGAUACGUAGCCGACCUGAGAGGGUAAUCGGCCACAUUGGGACUGAGACACGGCCCAAACUCCUACGGGAGGCAGCAGUAGGGAAUCUUCCACAAUGGACGAAAGUCUGAUGGAGCAACGCCGCGUGAGUGAAGAAGGGUUUCGGCUCGUAAAACUCUGUUGUUGAAGAAGAACAUAUCUGAGAGUAACUGUUCAGGUAUUGACGGUAUUUAACCAGAAAGCCACGGCUAACUACGUGCCAGCAGCCGCGGUAAUACGUAGGUGGCAAGCGUUGUCCGGAUUUAUUGGGCGUAAAGCGAGCGCAGGCGGUUUUUUAAGUCUGAUGUGAAAGCCUUCGGCUCAACCGAAGAAGUGCAUCGGAAACUGGGAAACUUGAGUGCAGAAGAGGACAGUGGAACUCCAUGUGUAGCGGUGAAAUGCGUAGAUAUAUGGAAGAACACCAGUGGCGAAGGCGGCUGUCUGGUCUGUAACUGACGCUGAGGCUCGAAAGUAUGGGUAGCAAACAGGAUUAGAUACCCUGGUAGUCCAUACCGUAAACGAUGAAUGCUAAGUGUUGGAGGGUUUCCGCCCUUCAGUGCUGCAGCUAACGCAUUAAGCAUUCCGCCUGGGGAGUACGGCCGCAAGGCUGAAACUCAAAGGAAUUGACGGGGGCCCGCACAAGCGGUGGAGCAUGUGGUUUAAUUCGAAGCUACGCGAAGAACCUUACCAGGUCUUGACAUACUAUGCAAAUCUAAGAGAUUAGACGUUUCCCUUCGGGGACAUGAUACAGGUGGUGCAUGAUUGUCGUCAGCUCGUGUCGUGGAGAAUGUUGGGCUAAGUCCCGCACGAGCGCAACCCUAUAUCAGUUGCCUAGCCAUAGUUCGGCACUCUGGGCAAACUGCGGUGACAACUGAGAAAGGGGAUGACGUCAUCCAUCAUGCCUUAUGACUGGCCUACCCAACCGUGUUCUUUGCCAUU